rnacentral:tRNA from 1 species
UCGGUGGUCGAGUGGGUUAAGGCAGUCGACGCGAAACGACUGACUCCUCAGGCGUGAGUUCGAACCUCACGGGCUGAA